rnacentral:rRNA from 2 species
GCGCCUGAAGUCAAGCAAGACUACCCGCUGAAC